rnacentral:rRNA from 1 species
AACGAGCGCUGGCGGCGCGCCUAAUACAUGCAAGUCGAGCGAGAAGACGUAGCAAUACGUUUGUAAAGCGGCGAACGGGUGAGGAAUACAUGGGUAACCUACCCUCGAGUGGGGAAUAACUAGCCGAAAGGUUAGCUAAUACCGCGUACGCUCCUUGGACUUCGGUUCAGGGAGGAAAGCGAUACCGUGGGUAUCGCGCUCUUGGAUGGGCUCAUGUCCUAUCAGCUUGUUGGGAGGUAACGGCUCACCAAGGCUUCGACGGGUAGCUGGUCUGAGAGGACGAUCAGCCACACUGGCACUGCGACACGGGCCAGACUCCUACGGGAGGCAGCAGUAAGGAAUAUUGCGCAAU